rnacentral:rRNA from 1 species
UACGAAGGGGGCUAGCGUUGCUCGGAAUCACUGGGCGUAAAGGGCGCGUAGGCGGUAUGACAAGUCACUUGUGAAAUCUCCGGGCUUAACUCGGAACGGCCAAGUGAAACUGUCAAACUAGAGUGCAGAAGGGGCAACUGGAAUUCUCGGUGUAGCGGUGAAAUGCGUAGAUAUCGAGAGGAACACCUGCGGCGAAGGCGGGUUGCUGGGCUGAUACUGACGCUGAGGCGCGAAAGCCAGGGGAGCGAACGGG